rnacentral:rRNA from 1 species
AUUGAACGCUGGCGGCAGGCCUAACACAUGCAAGUCGAACGAGUGGCGGACGGGUGAGUAAUGUCUGGGAAACUGCCCGAUGGAGGGGGAUAACUACUGGAAACGGUAGCUAAUAACACAUACCAUCAGAUGUGCCCAGAGGGGAUGAGCGAGUAGGUGGGGUAACGGCUCACCUAGGCGCCGAUCCCUAGCGGGUCUGAGAGGAUGACCAGCCACACUGGAACUGAGACACGGUCCAGACUCCUACGGGAGGCAGCAGUGGGGAAUAUUGGACAAUGGGCGCAAGCCUGAUGCAGCCAUGCCGCGUGUAUGAAGAAGGCCUUCGGGUUGUAAAGUACUUUCAGCGGGGAGGCGUUACCCGCAGAAGAAGCACCGGCUAACUCCGUGCCAGCAGCCGCGGUAAUUC